GAGACUGUGAUGAUGCCGAAGUUUAUCCCAUUUCGAGUUUUGCGACCAUGAGAUGAAAAGAUCCAUGCACCUCCAUCUGAGCUCUG